rnacentral:rRNA from 1 species
CUCAAAGAUUAAGCCAUGCAAGUGGUUAUAUUAACCCGACAGUUUAAAUAAGUGUUAAAUGCUACCAUUAAACUUAUCAUAUAUCACGCAUAGACCGAUUUUGUUUACAGUAGUAACAAUUUCAGCGUGAAUCACCCAUCACAGUGAAUCACUGAAAUUUACCCAAUAUCAGUAUCACUUACGCAACUGCAGACAGCUGCUUAAUACAGUCACACUUGUCUUGACUUGGCGCAAUAAAAAUUUUCAUUGAAACACCCGUUCUGCGGGCAGAUCGGUGAUCAUUUUUGUUUUGUUGCAUUCACGCAUACAAAAUUUUUUGAUUUCUCUGUAUCGCUUAUUCUUAAGGACAACGCGUUACACCGUGACAAAUUUCUUUAUGGAUAACUCAGGGAAAGUUUGGCUAAUACGUACGAGUAUAUUUUUUUCUACACACACACACACACACACACACACACACUCAAAUUAUUUUUGUAUUGCUGUGUAUCAACUACUACUCAGCACUCAAUGGUAAACUUUGGCUGCGCUUGCGCGGUCAGUUUAAAGUUUAACUGCAACAUGAGAGACAUUGAGCACGCACGUGUUGUGUCUCNGACGCUUCACAUCACGCUGAGCAGACUUUGCGAAGUUUACUUUGCGAAGCAUGUCAUACAAGCAUCUACAGCAUCAAGUCACAGGGUUGGCAAGUGUAUUUUUGAACCUUCAAAGCAGUCACGCAUACGGAAGAGUAGUUUCUGAUCCCAUAGAAGGAGCACCGUACAAUGAGAGACCGCUCUUAGUUCUAAGGAACGCAGCAGGCGCGUAAAUUGCCCAAUGCUAGUACCCUACAAUCAAAUUGUAUUUACAUGCGUUAACAAUUUACAACAUACAAGUUUUAAUGACAGACAUUAUCAACACUUUCAUUUUUUCUGUUAUACAUCAUACACAUAUAUCCUUGUUCGUUGUACAUCAGCAUAUAUAGUAUUAAUUUAUUAUUUUACUGAGGCAGUGACAAGCUGUAACGGUUGAGUAUAAAAAUGACGAGUGUCUGGCAUUGCCGCUCUUUCGGGAGCUUGGCAAGUUGCCGACGCUUUGUGUGCUCAAUUGGAAUGCGGUGAGUUUAAGCAACUCAGAACCUUUGGACGGUGUUAGUAAAAUUUCACUGUUUAUGUAUCUGAAUUUCAAGUGGAGGGCAAGUCUGGUG